GUUCCUUGUGUUAAGGUGCAUCUAGUGCAGUUAGUGAAGUAGCUUAGAAUCUACUGCCCUAAAUGCUCCUUCUGGCA
ensembl:miRNA